rnacentral:lncRNA from 1 species
UUAGGUCCACGCUGCUUUUAUGAGCUGUAACACUCACCGCGAAGAUCUGCAGCUUCACUCCUGAGCCCAGCGAGACCACGAGCCCACCGGGAGGAGCGGACAACUCCAGACGCACCACCUUAAGAGCUGUAACACUCACCGCGAAGGUCUGCAGCUUCACUCGUGAGCCCAGCAAGACCACGAGGACACCGGGAGGAACGAACAACUCCAGACGCGCUGCCUUAAGAGCCGUAACACUCACCGCAAGGGUCUGCAGCUUCACUCCUGAGCCAGCGAGACCACAAACCCACCAGAAGGAAGAAACUCCCAACACAUCUGAACAUCAGAACGAACAGACUCCAGACACGCCACCUUAAGAGCUGUAACACUCACCGCGAGGUUCCGCAGCUUCAUUCUUGAAGUCAGUAAGACCAAGAACCCACCAAUUCCAGACACAUUUUGGCGACCACGGAGGGACUUUCGCCUAUCGCCAAGCAGUGAGACAAUUGCCAAGCGGUGAGACCAUCACCUAUCGCCGAGCGGUGAGACUUUCGCCUAUCGCCAAGCAGUCCACGCUGCUUUUAUGAGCUGUAACACUCACCACGAAGAUCUGCAACUUCACUCCUGAGCCCAGCGAGACCACGAGCCCACCGGGAGGAACAAACAACUCCAGACGCGCUGCCUUAAGAGCUGUAACACUCACCGUGAAGGUCUGCAGCUUCACUCCUGAGCCAGCGAGACCACGAACCCACCAGAAGGAAGAAACUCCGAACACAUCUGAACAUCAGAACGAACAGACUCCAGACGCACCACCUUAAGAGCUGUAACACUCACCGCGAGGUUCCGCGGCUUCAUUCUUGAAGUCAGUAAGACCAAGAACCCACCAAUUCUGGACACAGUAGCAUUUGGGAAUAAUAAGAAUUGUAGCUGGGCAUGGUGGUACACGC